GCACAAGAUCUCCGAGAGAGGUAUUGAAGUUGAUAAAGCCAAAGUUGAUGCUAUUGAAAAGAUGCCAUGUCCCAAGGACAUAAAAGGUAUAAGAAGUUUCCUUGGUCAUGCCGGUUUUUAUAGGAGGAUCAUUAAGGACUUUUCUAAAAUCUCUAGGCCUCUGACUAAUUUUUUGCAAAAAGAUAUUCCUUUUGUCUUUGAUGAUGAUUGUGUAGAAGCAUUUGAAACACUUAAGAAGGCUUUGAUCACUGCACCUAUUGUUUAGCCACCUGAUUGGAACUUACCUUUUGAAAUUAUGUGUGAUGCUAGUGACUAUGCUGUAGGUGCUGUUUUAGGGAAAAGAGUCGAUAAGAAAUUGAAUGUUAUACAUUAUACUAGUAAGACUCUUGAUACUGCCCAGAGAAAUUAUGCUACUACUGAAAAAGAAUUCUUAGCAGUUGUGUUUGCAUGUGAUAAGUUUAGACCUUAUAUUGUUGAUUCCAAAGUUACUAUUCACACUGAUCAUAUUGCUAUUAAAUAUCUUAUGGAAAAGAAAGAUGCUAAGCCUAGACUCAUUAGAUGGGUUCUCUUGCUCCAAGAAUUUGACUUGUAUAUUAUUGGUAGAAAGGGAGCAGAGAACCCCGUGGCAGACAACUUGUCUAGGUUAGAGAAUGUUCUUGAUGACCCACUGCCUAUUAAUGAUAGUUUUCCUGAUGAACAAUUAGCGGUCGUCAAUGCUUCUCGUACUGCUCCUUGGUAUGCUAAUUAUGCUAAUUACAUUGUUGCUAAAUAUAUACCUCCUAGUUUCACAUAUCAGCAAAAGAAAAGUUCUUUUACGAUUUAAGGCAUUACUUCUGGGAUGAUCCACACCUUUAUAAAGAAGGAGUAGAUGGUAUUAUUAGACGUUGUGUACCUGAGCAUGAACAGGAACAAAUCUUACGUAAGUGUCACUCUGAAUCCUAUGGAGGACAUCACGCUGGAGACAGAACUGCACACAAGGUACUACAAUCUGGUUUUUAUUUGCCUACUCUUUUCAAAGAUGCUCGCAAGUUUGUCGUAUCUUGUGAUGAAUGUCAAAGAAUAGGUAACAUUAGUAGACGUCAAGAAAUGCCUAUGAAUUAUUCUCUUGUUAUUGAACCGUUUGAUCUAUGGGGUUUUGAUUAUAUGGGACCUUUUCCUGCCUCAAUGGUUAUACACAUAUUUUAGUUGCUGUUGAUUACGUUACUAAGUGGGUAGAAGCUAUUCCAACUAGUAGUGCUGAUCAUAACACUUCUAUUAAAAUGCUUAAAUAAGUUAUUUUUCCGAGGUUUGGAGUCCCUAGAUAUCUUAUGACUGAUGGUGGUUCACACUUUAUUCAUGGCGCUUUCCGUAAGAUGCUUGCUAAGUAUGAUGUCAAUCGUAGAAUCGCAUCUCCUUAUCACCCGCAGUCUAGUGGUCAAGUAGAGUUGAGCAAUAAAGAGCUCAAAUUAAUUUUGCAAAAGACUGUGAAUAGAUCUAGAAAGAAUUGGUCCAAAAAACUUGAUGAUGCAUUAUGGGCCUAUAGAACUGCAUACAAAAAUCCUAUGGGUAUGUCUCCAUAUAAGAUGGUUUAUGGAAAAGCAUGUCAUUUACCUCUUGAACUUGAACAUAAAGCAUAUUGGGCUAUUAAAGAGCUCAAUUAUGACUUCAAACUUGCCGGUGAGAAAAGGUUAUUUGAUAUUAGCUCACUUGAUGAAUGGAGAACCCAAGCAUAUGAGAAUGCCAAGCUUUUCAAAGAAAAAGUCAAACGCUGGCAUGAUAAGAGGAUUCCAAAGCGUGAGUUUAACGUAGGAGAUUAUGUGUUAUUGUUCAACUCUCGUUUAAGAUUUUUUGCAGGAAAACUUCUCUCAAAAUGGGAAGGUCCCUACGUUAUCGAGGAGGUCUAUUGUUCUGGUGCUAUAAAAAUCAAUAACUUCGAUGGCACAAACCCGAGGGUGGUAAAUGGUCAAAGAAUUAAACAUUAUAUUUCAGGUAAUCCUAUCAAUGUUGAAACUAAUAUUAUUGAAACCAUAACCCCUGAGAAAUACAUAAGAGACACUUUCCAGAAUGUUCCAGACUCCGAAAAGGCAUAUGUACAUGGUACGGUAAGUAAACCGACUCCAAAACAACUAUAAUGGCAAUUUUUAUCAGUUUUGGAUUAUUUAAGGAUUUUAGGAAGAAAGAAGUAGUCAGAAAGGGGCACGAGGCUCCCACGAGAGAGGAGGGCGCCCCCCUAUAGGGCGCGCCCCUGUCUCGUGGGCACCUCGUGUGCCUCCCGAACUCCGUUUUCUUGUAUGUUACGUAUUUUGGUCGGUAAAAAUUCAUUAUAUAUACUCCCGAAGGUUUUGACCACCGUAUCACGCAAUUAUCCUCUGUUUUCGUUUCGAGUUGUUUCUGUUGCAGAAUAAAGCAAGAUGUCUUCUCGGGAAUCAGUUGGGGAGAGCCAGGUGUCUCACCCAACGCUAGGUCCAGGAGCAAAUAGCGAUGCCCAUCACUUUGGACCAUCAACGGAGGACGAUAUGGAGGCUGAUUUGAAAAGGGUAGAUGCCAUGGAGGAAGAUCAAGAAGUUACCUCUCGCCUUCAAGCAGAAUUCACAAUGGGGGAACUACUUAGCCUUGCUGCCCCCACUUCGGUUACUCUUUUCAACUCCCGAUUUCUUUCUUAUGAAAAUAUGAAAAAGAGUUUCACUUGUUCUCCAGAAGCUAUGCAGCAUCCUUGGGUGAAAUGAGCUUUGUCUGUCACGGGCAAGCUCCAUAAAGAAAAUAUGGACCUCAAACAACAGGUCAAUAAGCUCGAGGAGGAGAACCGUAUCCUGAAGGGCAUAAUUGCCAAGAAGAUCAUAACACCAACCGUGAAGAAGGAGAAAUAAUCACAAGGGUAUGGGCACUCCCCUUGGCAACUGCCAAGCUUGGGGGAGGUGCCCCGGUAUCGUAUCACCAUCACACUCCUAUCUUUACCGCUUUAUUUAGUUCGAUCCUUUUAGUAGUAUCUUGAUCUAUUAGUUUGAAGUUUUGGUAUCAAGUAGUUUUGAGUUUUGCUUUGUGAUCCCUUUAUGUAAUCGAGUCCGUGUGCUAUCUAUAAUAAAGAAUAGUGUUUGGUCAAGGGCUUUGCUAUGUUGCUAUGAUCUUGAGAAAGUAGAAAGAACAAAAAGAGUUCAUAUUGAUCUUAUGUAUAGUGAUAACUUCACACAUAGAAAGUAUGAGGCAUAAAAAUCGUUGAGAGUUGAUGAACGUAGCCUUGGUCAUCGUUGCAAUUAAUAGGAAGUGAUAAGGAAGGAGGGGUUCACAUAUAAAUAUAUUAUCUUGGACAUCUUUUAUGAUUGUGAAGCACUCAUUAAGUAUGACAUGCUAAAAGAAUUGAUGUUGGACAAGGAAGACAACGUAAUGGUUUAUGUUUUCCGACAUCUCAGUUAAAGUAUAUUGUCAUUGACCUUCCAAACAUGUUGAGCUUGCCUUUCCCCUCAUGCUAGCCAAAUUCCUUGCACCAAGUAGAGAUACUACUUGUGCUUCCAAAUAUCCUUAAACCCAGUUUUACCAUGAGAGUCCACCAUACCUACCUAUGGAUUGAGUAAGAUCCUUCAAGUAAGUUGUCAUCGGUGCAAGCAAUAAACAUUGCUCUCUAAAUAUGUAUGACUUAUUAGUGCAGAGAAAAUAAGCUUUGUACGAACUUGUUGUGGAAGUAAUAAAAGUGACAGAUUGCAUAAUAAAGGUCCACAUGCAAGGGGAAAUAUAAAGUGACGUUCUUUUGCAUGAAGAUUUCAUGCAUCAACCCUAAACGCGCAUGACAACCUAUGCUUCCCUCUGCGAAGAGCCUAUCUUUUACUUUAUGUUUUACUUUAUGCUUGAGUCAAGGUGAUCCUCACCUCUCCCUUUUUCAUUUUAUCCUUUGGCAAGCUCCUCGUAUUUGAAAGAUCAUGAUACAUAUAUCCAAUUGGAUGUAAGCUGGCAUAGGCUAUUAUUGUUGACAUCACCUAAAGGUGAAUACGUUGGGAGGCAACAUAAUAAGCCCCUAUCUUUCUCAGUGUCUGGCUGAAACUCUAUAACCACAAGUAUUGCGUGAGUGUUAAUAAUUAUAGGGGACUACGAGAUAGUUGAGUAUGUGAGCUUGCUGAAAAGCUCUAUUAUUGACUCUUUCUGAUAUUACGAUAAAUUGCAAUUGCUUCAAUGACUGAGAUUAUAGUUUGUAAGUUCCCAAUGAAGUUUUUGAACCAUGCUUGACACUGUGAAUUGCUUAUUACUUGAACAUAGGAAAUCAUAUGACAAAAUCCAUAUAUGUUGCUGUUAUUAGAAUGAUCAUGAUGCCCUCAUGUCCGUAUUUUAUUUUUAUCGACACCUCUAUCUCUAAACAUGUGGACAUAUUUUUCGAUUUCGGCUUCCGCUUGGGGACAAGCGAGGUCUAAGCUUGGGGGAGUUGAUACGUCCAUUUUGCAUCAUGCUUUUAUAUCAAUAUUUAUUGCAUUAUGGGCUGUUAUUACACAUUAUAUCUCAAUACUUAUGGCCAUUCUCUCUUAUUUUACAAGGUUUACCAUGAAGAGGGGGAAUGCCGGCAGCUGGAAUUCUGGCUGGAAAAGGAGCAAACAUUGGAAACCUAUUCUGCACAACUCCAAAAGACCUGAGACUCCACGAAACAACUUUUUAGAUUUAAUAACAAUUUUUGGGCAAAAGAAAUAGGCCAGGGGGCCCACACCCUGUCCAGGAGACAGGGGCGUGCCCCCCCCCCCUAGGGCCCGCCCCCCUAUCUCCUGGGCCCCCUCGUGGGCUUCCGGCUGCCAUCUUCUGCUAUAUGAAGGGUUUUUACCUGGAAAAAAUCGUGGACAAGCUUAUGGGACGAAACUCCGCCGCCAUGAGCCAGAACCUUGGCGGAAUCAAUCUAGGGCUCUGGCGGAGCUGUUCUGCCGGGGACACUUCCCUCCAGGAGGGGGAAAUCAUCACCAACGUCAUCACCAACGAUCCUCUCAUCGGGAGGGGGUCAAUCUCCAUCAACAUCUUCACCAGCACCAUCUCAUCUCAAAACCCUAGUUCAUCUCUUGUAUCCAAUCUUGUACCAAAACCACAAAUUGGUACCCGUGGGUUGCUAGUAGUGUUGAUUACUCCUUGUAAUUGAUGCUAUUUGGUUUACUUGAUGGAAGAUCAUAUGUUCAGAUCCUUUAUGCAUAUUAUUACCCCUCUGAUUAUGAACAUGAAUAUGCUUUGUGAGUAGUUACGUUUGUUCCUGAGGACAUGGGUGAAGUCUUGCUAUUAGUAGUCAUGUGAAUUUGUAUUCGUUCGAUGUUUUGAUGAGAUGUAUGUUGUCUCUCCUCUAGUGGUGUUAUGUGAACAUCGAUUACAUGACACUUCACCAUUAUUUGGGCCUAGAGGAAGUCAUAGGGAAGUAAUAAGUAGAUGAUGGGUUGCUAGAGUGACAGAAGCUUAAACCCUAGUUUAUGUGUUGCUUCGUUAGGGGUUGAUAUGGACCCGUAUGUUUAAUGUUGUGGUUAGGUUUACCUUAAUACUCCUUUUUGUAGUUGCGGAUGUUUAAAAUAGGGGUUAAUCAUAAGUGGGUUUCUUGUCCAUGUUAGGGCAGUACCCAAGUGCCGGUCCACCCACAUAUCAAAUUAUCAAAAUACCGAACGCGAAUCUUAUGAACGUGAUGAAAACUAGCUUGACGAUAAUUCCCAAUGUGUCCUCGGAAGCUCCUUCUUCAUUAUUAGAAUUUGUCCAGGCUUAUCCUUUGCUACAUAAAGGAUUGGGACACCUUGAUGCACUUUAUUUACUUUAUUUACUUUUGCUCGUUACUAUUUAUCUUAUCACAAAACUACCUAUUAUCUACUAUUUCAGUGCUUGCAGAGAAAACCUUAUCGAAAACCGCUUAUCAUUUCCUUCUGCUCCUCGUUGGGUUCGACACUCUUACUUAUCGAAAGGACUACGAUAGAUCCCCUAUACUUUUGGGUCAUCAAUCGAACACAUUUGCGUGUAUGGUUAGUGUACGAUUGAAUCGAGGGCGUCACAGAUAAAAAUGAUAAAAUUAGGUUUGGAGAGGUUAAGACUUUAAAUAGUGAUGUGCCUAGUACUUUGGAUUACAAGGACUUUAAUGAUGAUAGUUGCUCUUUAGUUGAAUGUAUUUCUUUGUUGCAAUCCAUGAUAAAUUCACCCAAUGCUUAUUAACAAAAUACAGCUUUCACUAAACAUAUUGUAGAAGUUAUGAUAAAAGCUCAUGAAGAAAAGCUAGAGUUAGAGGUUUCAAUACCUAUAAAAUUGCAUGAUGAAUGAUAACCUACAAUUAAAGUAAUUUUUUUUAAAGAUAAUGAAUGUAAUGCUUUAUGUGAUUUGGGUGCUGGCGUCUCCACUAUACAAAUUUUUUUAUGUGAUGUGCUAGGCCUUACCGAUAUGGAUGAAUGUUCCCUUAAUUUGCAUUUAGCGGAUUUAACUAUUAAGAAACCAUUGGGUAGAAUAAAUGAUGUGCUCAUACUUGCUAAUAAAAAUUAUGUGCAUAUUCAUUUCAUUGUGCUUGAUAUUGAUUGCAUUCCGUCUUGUCCUAUAAUACUUAGUACAGCUUUCCUACGAACCAUAGGUGCUAUUAUUGAUAUGAAAAAAGGAAAUAUAAGGUUCCAAUUCCGAUUAAAGAAAGGGAUGAAACACUUCCCUAGAAAGAGAAUUAAACCACCAUAUGAAUUUAUUACGAGGGCCACCUAUGGAAUUAAUUUGAAGGAUGACAACUGAUACGUCCAUUUCGCAUCAUAUUUUACUACUGUUAUUUAUUAUGUCUUAUGUCAUUAUUUCACUUUACGAUACAAUUCUUAUGUCUUUUCUCUCAUAUUUUGCAAGUUUUACAUGAAGAGAGAAAUUGUCGGCAGCUAGAAUUCUGGACCAAAAAGGGCUACAACAGAAAUAGCUACUUUGCACAACUCCAAAUGGCCUGAAAAUCUACGAAGAAUUGUUCUGGAAUAUAUAACAAAUAUUGGCGAAAGAAACCAUUGACAUGUCUCCUUUUGUGGAUCCGAAAAAGAAGUCGUUGAGCAUCUCAAAGUUUAUUAAGGAUCUCCAAAUUGUGAAGAUUGAUAGGCAGGUUAACAAGGUGACGCAUGAGAUUGCGAAAUUUAAUUUUGAUAGCAAAAGCAACGAACUAUGUAAUGAAAGAUUGUAAGAAUCUUGAUAUCUAAAUUAAUAUAUGGGUGGGGUUUUCAAAAAAGAAAGAAAGAUGUGUCGACCACUUUCAUUCACACGACUACCUGAUGCCGCGUUGGUUGGCUGGGUGACGACCGUUGAUAGUCAAAGACGACAAGUGGUUUGGCCUUUAUUUGUAUAAUGAACGCGGCUAGUAGAUAGUCAUUUUUUUAUCAAGUGGAUAGGAGCGAUGACAGAUGUUGCUGAAUGAUGUCUUCAGACUUAGUGAUGUAUUACUUUGUAAGUCUUUGUGAACAAUUAAUAAAGUGGCCGCAUGCAUCGUCCAAAUGCAGAGGCCGGGGGUCAUCCUCCUUUUCAAAGAAAAGUAGAUACUCAUUUUUAUAGUUAGGCACCUGAUUUUUUCUGCGGACCAUGAACGCGCUUAACUGUAAAUAAGGACCAUUUAGGGACGUGUUAGGUUACCUGCAUCUUUUUUGCCAUUUUACAUACUUGUCUCAUUUGGCCCUGGCUGAGCAUAUGCAGGCAAAAAAUAACAUCUUCAUGUUGAUUGAUUGUCUGGAUCCCCUCUAGCAUUCAUGUGCUAAAACCGAAGGCCUGCUGUUUGAUUGCGAACUUGUUUGAGGGGAAACACAAGUUUGGUUGUUUGAUUACAUCCAGGAUAGUUAUGUGGUAACCUCCUUCUCGAUGUGGUGAUGUUACCAAAGGCACAUAUGAACUACCAAGAACUAAACUAGGAGCAACAGAAUAAUCUUAGACACAAACACAAGUCUUAAUCAUGCAUUACAAGUUUUAAACCAACAUAGUACAAUAAGUUUUUUGCUGACCAUGAAUGCGCUUAGAUGUAAAUAAGGAUCAUUUAGGUGAAUAAAUACAGGUUGCCCGACAACCCAGAGAAGCCUUGACCGCCAAAUCGUCUCCCCUCUUUCCCCACCUACGGAGCCCAUGACGCGACCAAGCAGGGGACGCGUAUGAACUGAAGGUCUCUUUUCACGGCUCGCGCCCUAGGCCCUAGCUAGCUAAGGGCAUGUACUACGCUCCAGCAUGGACAGCUGCUUCAUUAUCCACGCAUGAGGAAUGAAUGAUGUGGAGAAGAGAGAUAAAAAAGAUGGCUGCCUGCAGACCAAGACGGGAUCUUGCAGAGGAGCCGGGGGCUUGGGUGAAAAGCUGAGAGAAAAAAGCAAGAGAUAGACAGGACCGCAAGGAAAAGUAGAAAAGAGGAAGAGGAAGAGAUUGAAUGUGAGAGUACUGCCUCAAUUCUAUAUGCAUACGAUGGAUCCUGAAACCACACCAUACCGGUGCCUCCAUAGCUCAUGCCCGAAGGAACCUUGUCGCUGUCGCCAGUAGGAUCCAAGAAGGAGCAGCACACUUUACACUCGGCGUGCACUGCAGCCACCGGCCAGCUUCACAUGGUGCACACUAGUAAGUAGUAUCAUCAACUGGCUCGUGAGUAAUAACUACACUGCUAUGCACAGCAGCAUGACGCGUCCAAUCAAGGCCAUGCUUUCAGUUCACACGGCAAAUUUCAUUUUUCUCCAUCUCGGAAAAUAAUAACAAUAAUUCAUUUUUCUCUUUCUUUUUUCGGACGAAGUAAACUUUGUCCUUUUUUCUGUCCUAGUGAGAAAAGGCGUACAACAGCAAUUGGCCCGCUGGUAAAACCACACAAGCAAAUCUCGUGAGGAGUGAAAGGACCCGACAGGGCGAAGCUAGGGUUCCUCCCCUGCUCCCCCCGCCGCCGCCGGCAAACCCGCACUCUCCCCCNNNNNNNNNNNNNNNNNNNNNNNNNNNNNNNNNNNNNNNNNNNNNNNNNNNNNNNNNNNNNNNNNNNNNNNNNNNNNNNNNNNNNNNNNNNNNNNNNNNNNNNNNNNNNNNNNNNNNNNNNNNNNNNNNNNNNNNNNNNNNNNNNNNNNNNNNNNNNNNNNNNNNNNNNNNNNNNNNNNNNNNNNNNNNNNNNNNNNNNNNNNNNNNNNNNNNNNNNNNNNNNNNNNNNNNNNNNNNNNNNNNNNNNNNNNNNNNNNNNNNNNNNNNNNNNNNNNNCUCCCGUCGCCCCCGAGGCGGCGGAGUGCCCCAUCUGCUCCUCCCAUCUCGACCCACCCUCCUCCUCCUUCCCCCUUCGUCGUCGCCGGCAGCGGCCUCCGGCGUGCUCGGGUGGCGCCGGCGGCGGCGAAUGUCCCUUCCCCGCGCGCCCGAAGGGGGAGUCGGGGCUCCCUCCUGCCCGGCGGUGGGGCUCGACGGCGGAGCCCGGCGGGCCUCGGGUGCCCUCAACGCGGCGGCAUGGUCGUUGGCUGCGGGGCGGCGCUGUGGGCUUCUGGCCGACGGCGCCCGCUCGGCCCAGAUCUGGGCCCUUUCGGGCCCCAUCUGGGCUGGGGCGGGCCUGCGGGUCCGAUCGUGUUGGCGCGGCUCCCUGGUGGUGUGGCGAGGCGGCGGUGGUUGUGGUGGUGAUGGCUCCGGUGGCCGGCAUGCUGCAGCGUGGCUGCAGGGACUGUCCGGACCCGUUUGGGUCCGGCCGGGCCGGCGUGGCCUGGCAAGUCCCUGUCGCUACGUCCGGUCGGCUCCGCGCGGCGGUGGAGGUUGUUCCCUCCUGUUGGCUGCGGUGCGGUUGCCCCCGAGCCCGGUGUCUUCUCGUCCUUCCUCCAGGCUUCGUGUUGGCGACCUCAGUGAGACGGUGAAGAUGGGGCGGUAUCCGUGGUGGCACAGGUUGGUGGGAGUCAUGUUGGGCGGUGCGCUUACGAUUGUCUGAGGUGGCGGUGGUUGAGGGAGUCCUGGACUAGGGGGUGUCCGGACAGCCGGACUAUCAUCGUCCGCCGGACUCCAAGACUACGAAGAUACAAGAUUGAAGACUCCAUCCCGUGUCCGGAUGGGACUUUCCUUGGCGUGAAAGGCAAGCUUGGCGAUACGGAUAUAUAGAUCUCCUACCAUUGUAACCGACUCUGUGUAACCCUAGCCUCCUCCGGUGUCUAUAUAAACCGGCGGGCUUUAGUCCGUAGGACAACAUACAUUACAACAAUCAUACCAUAGGCUAGCUUUAGGGUUUAGCCUCCUUGAUCUCGUGGUAGAUCCACUCUUGUACUACCCAUAUCAUCAAUAUUAAUCAAGCAGGACGUAGGGUUUUACCUCCAUCGAGAGGGCCCGAACCUGGGUAAAACAUCGUGUCCCUCGUCUCCUGUUACCAUCCGCCUAGACGCACAGUUCGGGAACCCCUACCCGAGAUCCGCCGGUUUUGACACCGACAUUGGUGCUUUCAUUGAGAGUUCCUCUGUGUCAUCACCGAUAGGCUCGAUGGCAUCUUCAGUCAACAACGCUGUCCAGGGUGAGACUUUUCUCCCCGGACAGAUCUUCGUAUUCGGCGGCUUUGCACUGCGGGCUAAUUCCCUUGGACAUCUGGAGCAGAUCGAAAGCUACGCCCCUGGCCAUCAGGUCAGAUUCGGAAGCCUAAACUUCACGACCGACAUUCGUGGGGACUUGAUCUUCGACGGGCUCGAGCCAAAGCCAAGCGCGCCGCACUGUUGCGAUGGGCAUGAUCUGGCUCUGCCGCCGAACAGUGCCUUGGUGGCCGCACACGAAUCCGCUUCGGCCUUCAGUCCGGAGCCGAUCGCCCAGAUCGAGGAUCGGUGGAUGGACACCACCUCGGGGGCUUCAACUUCCACGGCGAUGGAGCCGAACGCCAAUCUUGUCCCUCGCGAAACUCGUGAUUCCGAGGUGCCGGACUCCUUGCUGGACUCCGGACCUCCCACGCCCCUACCAAUCGAAUCGGAUUGGGCGCCGGUUAUGGAAUUCACCGCCGCGGACAUCUUCCAAUACUCGCCCUUUGGCGACAUCCUAAAUUCGCUAAAGCACCUCUCGCUAUCCGGAGAGUCCUGGCCGGACUAUGGCCAGGAUGGUUGGGAUACGGACGACGAAGAAAUUCAAAGCCCACCCACCACCCACUUUGUAGCCACUGUCGACGAUCUAACCGACAUGCUAGACUACGACUCCGAAGACAUCGACGCUAUGGACGACGAUGCCGGAGACGAACAGGAACCAGCGCCUACAGGGCACUGGAAGACCACCUCGUCAUACGACAUAUACAUGGUGGACACCCCAAAAGACGGGGACGGCGAAGAAGCAGCGGAGGCAGAUUCUUUAAAGAAACAGCCCAAGCGCCGGCGUCAGCGGCGCCGCUCUAAAUCCCGCCACAGCAAGAAUGGAGAUUCCGGCACAGGAGAUAAUAAUACCCCAGAGAGUGCCGAAGAUAACCCCCUCCAGCAAGACUCAGCGCAGGAGGAUGCAGAAGCAAGCCCUCACGAGAGGGCGGCAGACGAAGAGGUUGAGGAUUAUAACUAUAUGCCUCCCUCCGAAGACGAGGCAAGCCUCAAUGACGACGAAUUCGUCGUGCCCGAGGAUCCCGUCGAACAAGAGCGUUUUAAACGCAGGCUUAUCGCCACGGCAAAUAGCCUAAAGAAAAAGCAGCAGCAGCUUCAAGCUGAUCAGGACCUGCUGGCUGAUCGAUGGACAGAGGUCCUCGCGGCCGAAGAGUAUAAACUCGAACGCCCCUCCAAAAGCUACCCAAGACGCAAGUUGCUUCCCCGAUUAGAGGAGGAAGCGUACAUACCUCCAUCACCAGUGCACGAUACGGCCGACCGACCACCCCGUGGUCGUGACAGAGAGGCAUCCAGGCCCCCAAUCAAGACCGUACCCCGGCAUCGCUCCAAAAGUACGAAGCCAAGGGGGAACGCGCUGGACUUGCGAGAUAUAUUGGAGGACAAGGCAAGGCAAUCCAGAUCCAUCUACGGAUCACGUGGGCGCCCCACGACCCAUGACGAAUACCGUCGCGCCGUAUACAAUAACCCCAGCCGGGCCGAACACAGCAGACAACGCUCUCUCGAGCUGCGUCGUGAUAUUGCUCAAUACAGAGGCGCCGCACACCCGCUAUGCUUCACUGACGAAGUAAUGGAUUAUCAAAUCCCUGAAGGGUUUAAACCCGUAAACAUUGAAUCCUACGAUGGCACAACAGACCCCGCGGUUUGGAUCGAAGAUUAUCUUCUUCACAUCCAUAUGGCCCACGGCGACGAUCUCCAUGCCAUCAAGUAUCUCCCACUCAAGCUUAAAGGACCAGCUCGGCAUUGGCUUAACAGCUUGCCCGCAGAGUCAAUUGGGUGUUGGGAAGACCUGGAAGCCGCAUUCCUCGAUAACUUCCAGGGCACGUAUGUGCGGCCACCAGACGCAGAUGACCUAAGCCACAUAAUUUAGCAGCCAGACAAAUCGGCCAGACAAUUCUGGACACGGUUCUUGACAAAGAAAAACCAAAUCGUCGACUGUCCGGGUGCAGAGGCCCUUGCAGCCUUCAAACAUAACAUCCGCGACGAGUGGCUGGCCCGGCACCUGGGACAGGAAAAGCCGAAAUCCAUGGCAGCCCUCACGUCACUAAUGACCCACUUUUGCGUGGGAGAGGAUAGCUGGCUAGCUCACAGCAAUAACCUCCGUAAAAAUUCUGGCAGUCCGGAUACUAAGGACAACAAUGGCAGGUCACGUUGAAACAAAAACAAACGCCGCAUUAAUGGCGACGAUAAGGAUGAUACGACAGUCAACGCCGGAUUCCGAGGCUCUAAACCCGGUCAGCGGAAGAAGCCAUUCAAAAGAACCACUCCGGGUCCGUCCAAUUUGGACCGAAUACUCGACCGCUUAUGCCAGAUACAUGGCACCCCUGAAAAGCCAGCUAAUCACACCAAUAGAGAUUGCUGGGUGUUCAAGGAGGCAGGUAAGUUAAUUGCCGAAAACAAUGACAAGGGGCUAAACAGAGACGACGAGGAAGAGACCCGACCGCCGAACAAUAGAGGACAGAAGGGUUUCCCCCCACAAGUGCGGACGGUGAACAUGAUUUACGCAACCCAUAUACCCAAGAGGGAGAGGAAGCGCGCGCUAAGGGACGUCUAUGCGAUGGAGCCAGUCGCCCCGAAGUUCAAUCCAUGGUCCUCUUGUCUGAUCACUUUCGAUCGAAGAGACCAUCCGACCAGCAUACGCCAUGGAGGAUUCGCCGCAUUGGUUUUAGACCCAAUCGUCGAUGGAUUUCACCUCACGAGAGUCCUGAUGGAUGGCGGUAGUAGCCUGAACCUGCUUUAUCAGGAUACAGUGCGCAAGAUGGGCAUAGACCCCUCAAGGAUUAAACCUACAAAGACAACCUUUAAAGGUGUCAUACCAGGUGUGGAAGCCAACUAUACAGGCUCAGUCACACUGGAAGUGGUCUUCGGAUCCCUGGACAAUUUCCGGAGCGAGGAGUUAAUCUUCGACAUAGUCCCGUUUCGCAGCGGCUAUCACGCUCUGCUCGGACGAGCCGCGUUUGCAAAGUUCAACGCGGUGUCGCAUUAUGCAUACCUCAAGCUCAAGAUGCCAGGCCCUCGUGGAGUCAUCACGGUCAACGGAAAUACGGAACGCUCCCUCCGAACAGAGGAACAUACAGCGGCUCUUGCGGCAGAAGUACAGAGCAGCCUUUUAAGGCAAUUCUCGAGUCCGGCCGUCAAACGGACGGAUACAGCAAAAUGCGCCCGAAGCAACACCAACCAAGACAACCUAGCACGAUCAGAGCACGCGUAGCAAUGCGGCCCUAACCCCCGCCCUCCCAUGAUUGCAAGAACAACCCUCCGCGUACAUCAUUACGCUUUGGAGAUACCAUGGGCGCAGGGGAAGGGGCACGAUCACAACGGACCCAGAGUGCGGCUCGACCACACCAGAGGCUUGCAAGUGUGCCCCCUUUUUUUAUCACUUUAAUUCUUUGUGUACACAGGACUCCGUUAACCAGAGGCCCUGUCCGGCGAUGAACCUGCCGAACUCAUGAUGCAAUAGCGAGGGAAGAAAGAAGGCUGCGACGAACACUCAGGUGGUCUCAAUUACGAGCAUUAAAUUCGAUUAUAUACACCAAGUCCGCAGAUCACCCCUGGAGGGGGACCUGUUUAAUUAGUCCAAAUCCCUUGCUUACCGCACUAUUUGUAUCAGUCCGCACUCAUAGCAGACUUUCUUUAAUAAAUAAUGCAGCACUUUUCGACGGCAAUUGCAUUACUUUUUAUAUAUAUGUUCAUUACAUGACAUCUUGCACCCGUAUAUUUUGGUACGGCCGAAUACACCAGGGGCUUAUGUUCCCCACAUUAUGGUGUGAUAAGUCCGAACACUUUCACAAGUGCGGCACCCCGAACUUAUAGCAUUAUAUGAAUCGGCUCCGAAUCAUGUCUUGGGUCAAUAGUUGGGUUUGCCCGGCUCCCACGUUUUGGUGCCUUACGUUCCGUUCUGUCGGCUAAGGUGGCACUGGGAGAACCACUGCGAUUGCGCCCCGGUUGAGCCGGGCGAGCGCCUCAGUGGAGAAAGCUAAAACUGACCGGCAUGAUAAGGCGAGAGACUGUUCGCUGUUCGAGAGGUUUUUUCGGGUCCUUAAAGACUCACGCCGCUUCAAGCGAAGUUCCGGACAAUGUCCGACGAAGGCGUGGAUAGCGCUCCGGAUUCGGUCUUCUGAAUACCAGGGGCUUCGCCGAAAUUUAAAAUUAUAGAAUUCUAUGGCUAAGUGAGAGUGUUCAAGCAUUAUAAGUCCGGUUGCCUUGUUCGUUGUGUUGAGCGCCUCCCUAGAUGGACCCAAAAAUGGGAACAAGAGUGCUCAAGUUUAUCCCGAACACCCCAGCACUCACGGCUCGGGGGCUGAAGCCAACAACUUGCCAUCUCUCAGAUUUUAUAGACGGCCGCACAGAAGGUAAUAUUUUAAAUUAAACAAGCGUUGCUCAAGGCGCAUAUGAACGAAGUUUUCAGCGCACAGGAUAAUACAUAGCGAGUUUACUCAAAGAUUACAUUUCUGGGGCACUCAUCCGCAAUAUCGUGGGCUCCCUUCAGGACAGUUUUAUAAUACAUUUCGGGCGUGCGAUACUCCUUGCCCGGUGGCGGUGGGUCCGUGAGAAGGUUCUCCGCAUCCAACCUGCCCCAAUGCACCUUCGUGCGAGCAAGGGCCCGACGAGCACCUUCAAUACAGGCGGAGCGCUUGAUGACCUCCACCCAGGGGCACGCAUCCACCAGCCGCCGCACGAGGCCGAAGUAGCUCCCAGGCAUGGCCUGUCCAGGCCACAGCCGGAUUAUAAGGCCCUUCAUGGCCUCCUCAGCUACCUUGUGGAGUUCGACCAGCUGUUUCAGCUGGUCGCUUGGGGGCACUGGAUGGCCGGCCUCAGCGUACUGAGACCAGAAGACCUUCUCCGUCGAGCUCCCCUCCUUGCCACGAUAGAAUGCGGCGGCAUCGGACGCACUACGCGGCAGAUCUGCAAACGCCCCUGGAGAGCUACGAAUGCGGGUAAGUGUCAGGUAGUUUACAUUAACAUGCUUGCUUUGCAUGAAAAAUGCCUUACCCGCCGCUAUCUUCUUUACAUCUUCAACCUCCUGAAGGGCCUUAUGGGCCUCGGCCUUGGCGGACUUGGCACUUUCGAGAGCCGAGGCAAGCUCGGACUCUCGAGUCUUGGAGUCACGCUCCAAACUCUCAUGCUUCUCCAUGAGAGCCUGGAGCUCUUGCCCGCCACCCGUGCCUCCUGCUUUUCUCGCUCUGCCCGUUCCGCGGCCGCACUGCGUUCGGUCGCGGACACAGCCUCCUUCAGGGCUGCCACCUCAUUCGUGGCCCCUGCAGUACCCAUAUUAUCCUUGUUAAUUUUAUUGCAACCAAAAUCCUUUUCUAUAAGGUAAUUAUUCAAAGCGGUGUUACUCACCUUCUUUGUCCUCGAGCUGCUUCUUGGCAUGGCCGAGCUCUUGCUCGGACCGCUUGAGGUCCUGCUUCAACACACCGACCUCCGCAGUCAGUGCGACAGAGGUCGGCAGCACAGCCUGCAAACCCAUAUUGACAUAUUAUAAGCAACCCUGCGUAUAUCUUGUUAGAUCCUCAGUCUGGCUUUUCUGUCUGAACACCGAACUGAGCAUCAGGGGCUACUGUCUAUGCGGUAUUACAUUACAUAACUUUAACUUCUUGCCUCAAAGCCUGUUAGAAGGCUGCUGCAGGCUUCGGUCAGCCCGCUCCUGGCGAGCUGAACCUUCUGAAUCACCGCACUCAUGAGAGUGCGGUGUUCUUCCCCGAUGGAAGCGCCUUUAAGCGCCUCCAACAAGUUGUCCGGCGCCUCCGGUUGGACGGAGGCCGCCGAUGUCACAGUCCUGCCCUUCUUUCGAAGGGGCCGCUUGCCGGACUCUGGAACCACUGCGGGUUCUGAUGUAGAGUCCGGCACAAAGUCCGGGAGGCUGCCUGACGGCGCCUCCCGGAGCCUCCUCUUGAUGGGUCCCUCUCUGGGAUCCCACCUCGGCGUCCUCGUUGGCACGGGGGGUAGUGGCAGUCGGAAGUGAAUCCACAUCCGACGGGGCCAAUGACCCGCUCGAUGAAGCGGGGAGAUCAUCAUCGGCCGGACUAUGGACAAAAUGCGGCAUUAGAAGGACACUACAUAAUACGAAAGAAAUUGCAUGUCAAGGAUCCGGAUACUUACGAUCUUGCCGGACGCCUGGCCCUUAAAGGCCACUCCUCCUCGCCAACGACGGUGUUGGCGAAACUAUCCGGGGGGAUAGUUCUCCCCUUCUUGGACCCUUCGGCCUCCCCUAUUGGGGAAGCCUUCCUCUUAUUCUCUCCCUCCUCCGGGAGAGAGUCUUAUUCCUCCUCCUCGUCUUCGGGGGAGGAGUCCGCCUCGUCGUCGGACGCCUGAUUGCGGGAACUCUUUUCGAGUCCCCGCGGCCACCUUCUUGGCCUUCUUCUCCGGCACCACGUGCGGUGCCGGAACCAGCAGCCCUGCUAGACGGGCGUUCACUGUGUCCUCUGGCAUGGGAGCCGGGCUGAUGAGCUGCUCGGCCUUCUCCAUCCAUUCCUGUCAAAGGAAAAGAGAGAUUGAAACCCUCUUAGAAUCAAUUUGAUGACCACAAGUGUCCCGUAAAGGGGUUGAAUCACUUACCUCGUCAGCCGGAUGCUGCGAGCAAAAUCCGCGAUCUUCCGUCACGGAUGCGGGGGCUUCGGCGCCCUUAAAUAGCACCCUCUAGGCGCCUUCAUAUGUCGUAUCGAAGAGCCCGCUUAGCGCCUGGUGCUGUUCCGGAUUGAACUCCCACAGAUUGAAUGCCCAUUCUUGGCAUGGGAGAAUCCGGCGGAUGAGCAUGACUUGGACCAUGUCGACGAGCCUGAGCUUGUUGCUCACCAGCUUCUGGAUGCAGGCUCGGAGUCCCGUCAGCUCCUUCGGAUUGCCCCACAGCAGGCCCUUCUCUUUCCAGGAGGUGAGCUGCGUGGGGAUGCUAGAUCUAAACUCGGGGGCCACCGCCCAUGUGGGCUCGCGCGGCUCGGUGAUGUAGAACCACCCCGAUUGCCACCCCUUGACGGAGUCCAUGAAGGCCCCUUCAAGCCAAAGGACGUUGGGUAACUUACCCAACAUGGUGCCUCCGCAUUCCGCUUGCGUGCCCUUCACAACCUUCGGCUUGACGUUGAAGGUCUUGAGCCACAGGCUGAAGUGGGGCCGGAUGCAGAGGAAGGCCUCGCACACGACGAUAAACACCGAGAUGUUGAGGAUGAAGUUCGGCGCCAGAUCAUGGAAAUCCAGGCCGUAGUAAAACAUGAGCCCCCGGACGAAUGGGUGGAGUGGAAAGCCCAGUCCGCGGAGGAAGUGGGGAAGAAAGACGACCCUCUCAUGGGGCCCUGGGGUAGGGAUGAGCUGCCCCUCGUCGGGCAGCCGAUGCGCGAUAUCGCCGGAGAGGUAUCCGGCGCUGCGCAGCUUGGUGAUGUGCUCCUCCUUGACGGUGGAGGCCAACCAUUUGCCUCCCGCUCCGGACAUAUUCGGAGAAGGUCGAGGCGAGACGCGCGAGCUUGGGUGUUGGAGCUUGAGUACGCGGAGAUGGGUAAGCAAAGGAGGAAGAAGGCGUAGGUAAGAAGGUAAAUCCUUAUCCCUUAUAUAUAGGUGGACGAAGACUAUGCGUCCCCCACCGGCCUGGUAAAACUCGCUUAUCCCCCAAGCGCCACCAUCAAUGGCGCGGUUGGGUUACCCAUGUCCGUAUUGAUGAGAAUCCCAGAAUAAGGGGAACACGAUCUCUGCUUCGACAAGACGUGCCAAGGAAACCGCUUCGCUAAACGUGCCGAGGUGGUAUAAUAAAAAAUGAUUCAAAUAAAGGCUUGGAAGCGGUGUGAUGUCAUGCCGCAUAAAACGUCAGCAGAUUGGAUUUAUGUGCAUUAUUCUCUCUACGGUGGAAUGUGGAAUUUAUUUUGCAGAGCCGGACACUAUCCUGGUGUUCAUGAUCUUCUCUGGAUUAUUCAAGGGAGGAACCCGCCUUGCAAUGCCGAACAUUAUGCGCGCCGGACUUAUCGUCAUUGAAGCCUGGUUCAGGGGCUACUGAGGGAGUCCUGGACUAGGGGGUGUCCGGACAGCCGGACUAUCAUCGUCCGCCGGACUCCAAGACUACGAAGAUACAAGAUCGAAGACUCCAUCCCGUGUCCGGAUGGGACUUUCCUUGGCGUGGAUGGCAAGCUUGGCGAUACGGAUAUAUAGAUCUCCUACCAUUGUAACCGACUCUGUGUAACCCUAGCCUCCUCCGGUGUCUAUAUAAAUCGGAGGGCUUUAGUCCGUAGGACAACAUACAUUACAACAAUCAUACCAUAGGCUAGCUUUAGGGUUUAGCCUCCUUGAUCUCGUGGUAGAUCCACUCUUGUACUACCCAUAUCAUCAAUAUUAAUCAAGCAGGACGUAGGGUUUUACCUCCAUCGAGAGGGCCCGAACCUGGGUAAAACAUCGUGUCCCUCGUCUCCUGUUACCAUCCGCCUAGACGCACAGUUCGGGACCCCCUACCUGAGAUCCGCCGGUUUUGACACCGACAGUGGUGGUUUCGGGGCGGGAGAAAUCUCUAGCGGCUCGUUUGUCACCGGCGCGGCUGCGCCCGUGGGCGUUGCUGGACCCUCCUGAGGGGCGUCGGUGAUACCCCUUCCCCACUGCCAUCUGUGUACCAAGGGAAACCCUAGGAUUUGUCCGGGCAGCAGCGGCGUCGUCAUCGCAUUUCUUCCUGAAGAUGUUGCUUGGUAUGUGAGGCUUCAGAGUGCUUGGCGGGCGGUGGUACUUCUCCGGAGGGUGCAGCGGGUGUCGGCCAUCUUUGCUUAGUUGAACUGCCGGUGUCGGCAUUUGUUUAUUUUUUCUUUCUCUCCUUUUACUUUUGGGCUUGUUUGUGCUGCGGCCCCAGCAAGCUGGUUGUAUCGGUUGAAUGUUGCUUCUCAAUGGCGUACAACAGCUGAGUAGAAACAGAGUAGCAAGAGUACAUACUGCCCAGCCCAAGAUCCGCCCCCUUACGCGCUGGUGGGUAAGAGCAUUACUAGUAGAACCCUCAAACCCUCAAACCCUCACUAGCGUUUUAAGGGUCCAAAAAUGGUCUUUUUGUGCACUUUUACGGGUUAAAAAACAGGGGCAAAGAUUAGAACCCUCAAACCCAACCCUUAUAACCAAAUAUUCCCCAUGAACGACGUUGUCGUUGCGGGCAUACCGUCGAGCACCUCGUGCACGACGGGCAGAGGGUGGCGCGGGGGCGGAGGGCAAGGUUGGGAGAGGGUUUGAGGGUUGAACCUUUAAAAAAAUUGAGGGUUUGAGGGUUAAGGGGUUCUAGUCCACGGCUUUUUUUCGAUGAAAACUGUAAAAAAACAGUUAUUUUUAGAGGUUUGAGGGUUUGAGGGCUCUACUAGUAAUGCUCUAAGGUUCCUCGCCGAGAGCAAAGCACUCGUUUCCCACCAUCGUCGUGCAUCCCCUGCCGCCGCCGCUCCUGCUGGGGGAGUAGCCUCCAGGUCCAGGUGAGCUCAACUGCCCCAACCAACUCUUGCAUUACCAAUUUCUUCUACUCUUUCAUUUGUCUCCAACUCAUAAAAAUCAAACGCAAACUACUCCACUUGUUAGUUCUUAGUUUCGGCCCAUCUCUCCUUGGUUGCCUUUUUGCAUAUUAACAUGUUCAUAUGGUAGGACUAGGGUUCCUACCAGUGCGGCUACGCAGGUUAUAGGGACAAGGAGGAGGUGGACGAGGGCUGGAGCGAGCGUGCCGGCGAGUGGGCGCCGUCGCGGCUAGGGUUUAGGUGCGGCGGCGGUUGGCUGGUGGCGGCUAGGGUUCCGGCUCCUCAGGGAGCCGGGCAACAGAAGAUGAUAAUAUCUUUAUUGCUUGAUCUCAAAUGAUGUCUUACAACUAGUAUUUAUAACUUUAGCCUAAGAUAACUUGCCUAAAAUAACUUGCCUAAGAUAACUUGUGGGUCAAGCCCCUAAUACUAAUGCCCGGUGGGCCUCUUCCGGUUAUAGACCAAACCGGUCAUAACAUCUCUCCCCGCCUGCGCAAACAGCUCGUCCUCGAGCUGAAAGUCUGGAUAGUGUUGGCGGAAUUCUUCACGCUGCUCCCAAGUAGCCUCCUCCUCCGGAAGGCCCGCCCACUGAACGAGGAUGAACCAGACGCCACGACGGAGCUGCGCCUGCAACACCUUUGCCGGCUCUGGAAGAAUGCGACCAUCGGCGAUUGGAGGAAGCGCCGGAGGAGCCGCCGGUGGCUCGCCACGGAAAGGCUUGAGCAGGCCCACAUGGAAGACGUCAUGGAUGCGAGCAUGGGCUGGAAGCUGAAGACGAUAGGCCACCUUCCCAAUGCGCUCCAAGAUAGGGAAGGGCCCGGCGUAGCGAGGGCCGAGCUUGCGCUUCGCGUGCGGGUCGAAUGACUGCGUAGAGCGGUGGAGAAGACGCAGCCACACCCAAUCACCCACCGCGAACUCCGCCUCGCGAUGAUGAUCGUCGUAGUAGUGCUUGGCCAGCUGCUGGGCCUGAAGGAGAUGUUGACGAACCUCAGCAAGCAUCUCGUCACGAGUGCGGAUGAGGUCACCCGCAACCUCCGUCCGAGCUGUCUCUGGAUCCACCAGAAGUAUAGGCGGGGGUGGUCGACCAUAGACCACCUCAAACGGCGUAGCACGCAGGGCGGAGUGAUAAGAGGUGUUGUAGCAGUACUCCGCCCAAGAGAGCCAGUCCACCCAAGCGCGAGGCCGAUCACCUGUCACACAACGCAAAUACAUGGCAAUGACCUUGUUAACCACCUCGGAUUGACCGUCCGUCUGAGGAUGGAACGCCGUACUUAGGCGGAGCUGGACACCCGCCAUUCGGAAGAGGUCGCGCCAGACAUGGCCCGUGAACACUGGGUCCCGAUCACUGACAAUCGAAGCAGGGAACCCGUGUAGACGGACGAUGCCGUCGAAGAAGGCCCGGGCCACGGACGCCGCCGUGUAUGGAUGGCUGAGCGCGAUGAAGUGGGCGUACUUGGAGAAGCGGUUGACCACCAUGAGGAUGACCGACUUGCCGCCCCCUUGGGAAGGCCCUCAAUGAAGUCCAUGGAUAUAUCCGCCCAGACUUGAGAUGGCACCUCCAGGGGCUGGAGUAACCCGACCGGCCUGAGGGUCUCUGUCUUGUUGCGCUGGCAUGUCUGACAAGACCGAACCCAGUCGCAGACCAGGGCGCGGUCGCCAGGGAUGUAGAAGUCGGCGCGAAGACGUUGGAGGGUUUUCUGCAUACCCUCAUGACCCGCUGAGUGGGCGAGUUGUAACACCUGGUGACGGAGAUCAUCCUGUGCCGGUACAAAGACCCGGCGCCCAUGUAGGAGCAGGCUGUUAGAGAAGCGCCAAGGCUCCUCCAGGUCACCGGCCGUGAGCUGCUGCUGAAGACGGAUGGCGUCGUCGGCCGUCGCAGUGGCGCGGCGAAUGUCGGCGAAGAGGCCGAACGUCGGCCCGGAGAGGAUGCACAGGGCCGCCCCGGCGGACUCGUCGGCGGAGGACGCGAGGUCGGAGUCGCGACGGGAUAGCGCGUCGGCCAUGGUGUUAAGGCGUCCCGGCCGAUACUCGACGGAGAAGUCGAAGCUGAAGAGCUUGCUGAUCCACUGGUGCUGCGGCACGGUCGACAGCAGUUGGUCCAGCAAAAACUUCAGGCUGUAGUGGUCGGUGCGAAUGUGGAAGGACCGUCCCCACAAGUACGGCCGCCAAUGACGAAUGGCCUGUACAAGGCCAAUGAGCUCCCGCUCGUAUGCCGCCAGCUUAAGAUGACGCGGAGCAAAAGGCCGGCUGAAGAAGGCGAGGGGCCCAUCGCCCUGAUGAAGCACGGCGCCGAACCCUGCGCCUGAGGCAUCACAGUCCACCACGAACGAGCGGUCGAAGUCGGGCAUCUGGAGGACGGGGCCCAUUGUGAGGGCCCCCUUGAGGGCCUCGAACGCCGUCGUCGCCUCGUCGUCCCAGGCGAAAGCAUCGCGGCGAAGCAACCGCGGGAGGGGCGCCGCGAUGAGGCCGAACUCCCGGAUAAAUUUUCGGUAGUAGCCGGCGAGGCUGAGGAACCCGCGGAGAGCCCGCGGCGAGUGAGGCAUCGGCCAUGCGGAGACGGCUGUGUGACGCCCCCGAUUCAAUCGUACACUAAUCAUGCACGCAAACGUGUACGAUCAAGAUCAGGGACUCACGGGAAGAUAUCACAACACAACUCUAAGACAUAAAUAAGUCAUACAAGCAUCUUAAUACAAGCCAGGGGCCUCGAGGGCUCGAAUACAAGUGCUCGAUCAUAGACGAGUCAGCGGAAGCAACAAUAUCUGAGUACAGACAUAAGUUAAACAAGUUUGCCUUAAGAAGGCUAGCACAAACUGAGAUACAGAUCGAAAAAAGGCGCAGGCCUCCUGCCUGGGAUCCUCCUAACUACUCCUGGUCAUCGUCAGCGGGCUGCACGUAGUAGUAGGCACCUCCGGUGUAGUAGGAGUCGUCGUCGACGGUGGCGUCUGGCUCCAGGGCUCCAGCAUCUGGUUGCGACAACCAGAAAGAAAGGAAAAGGGGAAAAGGGGGAGAAAGCAACCGUGAGUACUCAUCCAAAGUACUCGCAAGCAAGGAUCUACACUACAUAUGCAUGGGUAUAUGUGUAAGGAGGCCAUAUCAGUGGACUGAACUGCAGAAUGCCAGAAUAAGAGGGGGGUAGCUAGUCCUAUCGAAGACUAUGCUUCUGGCAGCCUCCGACUUGCAGCAAGUAGAAGAGAGUAGAUUGAAGUCCUCCAAGUAGCACCUCCAAGUAGCAUCUCCAAGUAGCAUCUCCAAGUAGCAUCUCCAAGUAGCAUCUCCAAGUAGCAUCGCAUAGCAUAAUCCUACCCGGCGAUCCUCUCCUUGUCGCCCUGUUAGAGAGUGAUCACCGGGUUGUAUCUGGCACUUGGAAGGGUGUGUUUUAUUAAGUAUCCGGUUCUAGUUGUCAUAAGGUCAAGGUACAACUCCAAGUCGUCCUGUUACCGAAGAUCACGGCUAUUCGAAUAGAUUAACUUCCCUGCAGGGGUGCACCAACUUACCCAACACGCUUGAUCCCAUUUGGCCGGACACACUUUCCUGGGUCAUGCCCGGCCUCGGAAGAUCAACACGUCGCAGCCCCACCUAGGCAAAACAGAGAGGCCAGCACGCCGGUCUAAACCUAAGCGCACAGGGGUCUGGGCCCAUCGCCCAUAGCACACCUGCACGUUGCGAGGGCGGCCGGAAGCAGACCUAGCCUAGUGGCGUUCCAGUCCAAUCCGGCGCACGCCGCUCCGUCGCUGACGUCUGAAGUGCUUCGGCUGAUACCACGAUGUCGGGAUACCCAUAACUACUCCCACGUAGAUGGUUAGUGCGUAUAGGCUCGUAGCCAACUCAGAUCAAAUACCAAGAUCUCGUUAAGCGUGUUAAAUAUCCGCGAACGCCGAACAGGGCCAGGCCCACCUCUCUCCUAGGCGGUCUCAACCUGCCCUGUCGCUCCGCCACAAAGAUCCACUCGCGGGUGCUCCACCAGCCGACCCGUCUUUGGUCACCACAUGUAUCAUGUAUAACGUAUAUAGUAUAUACCCGUGAUCACCUCCCGAGUGAUCACGGCCCGAUAAUAUAGCAUAGCAGACGGACAAGAAUGUAGGGCCACAGAUGAAAAAUACUAGCAUCCUAUACUAAGCAUGUAGGAUUGCGGGUAAGGUAUCAAUGACUGUAGCAACAAUGUCAGGCUAUGCAUCAGAAUAGGAUCAAUGGAAAGCAGUAACAUGCUACACUACUCUAAUGCAAGCAGAAUAGAGGAGAAUAGGCGAUAUCUGGUGAUCAAGGGGGGGGGGGCCUUGCCUGGUUGCUCUGGCAAGAGAGAGGGGUCUUCAACUCCGUAGUCGAACUGGGCAGCAGCAGCAUCGGUCUCGUAGUCUACCGGAGAGAAGAGGGGGAAGAAACAAUGAAUACCAGGUAAACAGAUGCAUAUCGAUGCAUGACAAGACAAGUAACGAUGCUAGGCGUGCCCUAACGUGGUAUGAGGUGGUACCGGUUAAGGGGGGAAACAUCCGGGAAAAUAUCCCCGGUGUUUCGUGUUUUCGGGCAGAGGAGCCGGAGGGGGAAAGUUGCAGGUUCGAUAGGUUAAGAGGGUGUGGCGGACGAACGGACUGCAUAUCCGGAUUCGUCACGUCGUUCUGAGCAACUUUCAUGUAGAAAGUAUUUUAAUCCGAGUUACGGAUUAAAAGAUAUGAUUUUCUAAAGAUUUUAUUAAUUUCUGGAAUUUAAUUAAUUAUUUAAUUAAUUCGAAAAUGAUUUAAUGACAUCAGCAUGAUGUCAUGCUGACAUCAGCAGUCAACAGAGUUGACUGGUCAACCUGACUUGUGGGUCCCAUUCGUCAUUGACUUAUUAGUCUAAUUAGGGUUUAAUUAAACUAUCUACUUAAUUAGAUUAAUUAAACAUGAUUAAUUAACUUAAUUAAUUCAUUAACUAUUUUAAAUAUUAAUUAAUUAUUAAUUAAUUAUAUAUUUAUUUUUAUUUCGUUUUUUUUAAACGUUUUGGAGUGGGGCNNNNNNNNNNNNNNNNNNNNNNNNNNNNNNNNNNNNNNNNNNNNNNNNNNNNNNNNNNNNNNNNNNNNNNNNNNNNNNNNNNNNNNNNNNNNNNNNNNNNNNNNNNNNNNNNNNNNNNNNNNNNNNNNNNNNNNNNNNNNNNNNNNNNNNNNNNNNNNNNNNNNNNNNNNNNNNNNNNNNNNNNNNNNNNNNNNNNNNNNNNNNNNNNNNNNNNNNNNNNNNNNNNNNNNNNNNNNNNNNNNNNNNNNNNNNNNNNNNNNNNNNNNNNNNNNNNNNNNNNNNNNNNNNNNNNNNNNNNNNNNNNNNNNNNNNNNNNNNNNNNNNNNNNNNNNNNNNNNNNNNNNNNNNNNNNNNNNNNNNNNNNNNNNNNNNNNNNNNNNNNNNNNNNNNNNNNNNNNNNNNNNNNNNNNNNNNNNNNNNNNNNNNNNNNNNNNNNNNNNNNNNNNNNNNNNNNNNNNNNNNNNNNNNNNNNNNNNNNNNNNNNNNNNNNNNNNNNNNNNNNNNNNNNNNNNNNNNNNNNNNNNNNNNNNNNNNNNNNNNNNNNNNNNNNNNNNNNNNNNNNNNNNNNNNNNNNNNNNNNNNNNNNNNNNNNNNNNNNNNNNNNNNNNNNNNNNNNNNNNNNNNNNNNNNNNNNNNNNNNNNNNNNNNNNNNNNNNNNNNNNNNNNNNNNNNNNNNNNNNNNNNNNNNNNNNNNNNNNNNNNNNNNNNNNNNNNNNNNNNNNNNNNNNNNNNNNNNNNNNNNNNNNNNNNNNNNNNNNNNNNNNNNNNNNNNNNNNNNNNNNNNNNNNNAUCCUGAUCCAAAACUGGAUCGGGGGGGAGGGGAGAGAGCGAGUAGGGGUGUGGGUGGUUAGGGUUUGCGGGGGGGUGAGGGGAUAAGGUGUGGCCGGCUGGGCCUGGUGGGUUGGCCCAGUGGGGUUGAUGGCCUGCUGUUAGCUGGGCCGGUUGGCCCAUUGGGGGGUCCCUUUUCUUUUGUUUUGUUUUUUUAUACUUUUUAUUUAUUUUACUUUUCUGUUUUAAAUCGUUUUAAAUUACUUAGGCAUUUUAUAAAAAUGGGUUUGUUGCACCAUAAUUACCUUUGUAAUAUUUAGUACAAUCCAAACAUUUUUGUUUUAAUUUUUGAAAACUUUUAUUGUUAUCAUUAAUUUGAAUUUUGAAUUUUGGACCGGUUUUGCCCUAACGAUAGCUUAGCAGCAGUAAUCGUGGUGACGUGGCACCAUUAGCGUGGGAUCACUGUAGCUUAAUUAUCCGGGCGUCACAGGCUGCCACCUUGUCGGCGUCCAUAGCCACCCCGUCGGCCGAGAUGACGUGGCCCAAGUAGGCCACCGAAGGCGUCCCGAACGAGCACUUCGAGCGCUUAAGGUGGAGGUGGUGCGCUCGAAGCUCGUUGAAGACGAUGGCGACGUGCUGGAGGUGCUCGGCCCAAGACGCACUGUAGAUCAGAAUAUCAUCAAAGAAAACGAGCACAAACCGGCGUAAGUAGGGCCUGAGGACGUCGUUCAUCAGAGCCUGGAAUGUCGCCGGAGCGUUGGUGAUGCCAAAGGGCAUAACCAAGAACUCGAAGUGGCCGUGAUGAGUCCGAAACGCCGUCUUCGCGAUGUCAUCCAGGUGCAUGCGCACCUGGUGGUACCCUGACCGGAGGUUGAGUUCGGUGAAGAAGCGCGCCCCGUGGAGCUCAUCGAGGAGCUCGUCGACCACCAGAAUAGGGAACUUGUCCUUAACUGUGACAGCAUUAAGGGCAUGGUAGUCGAUGCAGAAACGCCAUGUGCCGUCUGACUUCCGGACGAGAAGCACCGGCGCGGUAAAUGGCGAAGUGGAGAGCCGGAUGAUACCUGCCGCGAGCAUGAGCGCACACUGCCGCUCCAACUCAUCCUUCUGCAACUGUGGGUAGCGGUAAGGCUGUACCACCACCGGCGCGGAGCCUGGCAGAAGAUGUAUACGGUGAUCGUACGGGCGGGCGGGCGGCAGCCCCUUUGGCUCGGUGAAGAUGUUCGCGUGCUGCUGGAGGAGGCUCUCCAAUAGUGGGUGCUCAGCCGUGGCGUUGGUCGCAGCCAGCUGGAGUGGAGUGGUUGGGGCGGCACCCCCAAUGCCGUCCCACCGAAUGCGGCGGCCCAACCGCCAGAAGGUCAUCGUUAGCUCUUCGAAAUCCCAUAGAAUAGGACCAAGAGUGCGCAAGAAGUCGACGCCGAGGAUGAAGUCGAAGCACCCCAAGUCGAUGCCGGCGCAGGUGAUGGUGAAGUGCUCGUCGCCGAUAGUGAUGGGCACGUCGCGGGCGAGCCUGUGGCAGCGUAGACGGUCGCCAUUAGCGACUGUGACUCACAAAUGCUCACUGCCGGUUGGCUGUAAUGCAAGGCGCCGCAUGGUGGUCUCCGGCAGGAAGUUAUGCGUGGACCCUGUAUCCACUAGGGCCACCAAGCGCUCGCCCUAGAUCAUGACCGGUAAGAGCAUCGUCCGUUCAUCACGGAUGCCGGCCAGCGCGUGUAGGGACACCACGAGGGCGGUGGCCGAAGCGGGCGCGGGUGCCGCUGCGGGCUCCGCAAGGGCUGGAGCGCUGAGGCCAUCCUCCAGUGUGUCCUCCUCAGUCUCGUCUGUCGUCUCCAAGUAGAAGAGGCGGGGACAGACAUGGCCCGGUGCAUAGGGCGCAUCACAGUUGAAGCACAAGCCCAGGCGCCGGCGUUCCAGCUGUUCCGCCUGAGUGAGGCGCCUAAAUGGCCGCGUCGGUGCCGGGGUGGGUGCCGGGGCGGCUGUGGACGACGCCGGUGCUGCUGGAGACGGCCGGGGAAGCUGUCGGCCCCCACGUGGCGCGGAUGGACGCGUUAAGGCCUGGGCACGCUGCUCGAACGCCCAGGCAUAGUACAUGGCCGUCUAAAGGUCUUGGGGCCCCUUCAUCUCGACGUCCACGCGGAUGUGGUCGGGAAGGCCACCGAUGAAAAGCUCCGCCCGCUGUAAGGCCGUCACACCGGGCGCGUGGCACGCCAGGGCCUGGAAGCGGUCAGCGAAGUCCUGCACCGUGGAGGUGAACGGCAGGCAUCCCAACUCGGCCAAGCGGCUCCCGCGGACCGGUGGCCCGAAACAAAGAAGGAACAGCUCUCAGAAACGAUCCCACGGGGGCAUGCCGCCCUCGUCCUGCUCGAGGGCGUAGUACCAUGUCUGGGCGGCCCCGCGAAGAUGGUAGGAAGCCAGCCAAGUACGCUCCGACGCGGGUGUGUGCUAUCCGCGGAAGAACUGGUCACACUGGUUGAGCCAGUUAAGCGGGUCGUCGGAGCCGUCAUAUGUGGCGAAGUCGAUCUUGGCGAACCGGGGCGGCUGCUGGUGUGGCGCGCCCUGGCCCACUUCCUCGGCGGUGCGUAGGGCGGAUGAUGGUGCGCGGUCCAUGGUGGAAGGCCCGGCGUAGUUCCCGGUGGCGCCCGACGCCUCGGGCUGCAACGGGAAACCGGACGGCGGGCGGGCCCCUGGGUAGGCCGAUGGCGGCCCGUGAAGCCAGUCGGGGAGUGGCGAUGGCGAUGAUGGAAAGCGGACCUCUUGGAUCGGAAGCCCGCUCAGCGACGACCGGCCCAGGUUAGGGCUGGGAUGGGGCAGUGGAGGACCCUGCUCCGUGGCCGCUGGAAGGGACGGCGCGGCGGGAGACGGCGCGGCCGGCGCGGUCCAGGUGGGCCACUGCGGCCCCGUUGUGGCGGCGAGUGGCGCGGUUGCCGUCGCGAGCGGCGGCGGCCACUGUGGCCAAGGCGGCNNNNNNNNNNNNNNNNNNNNNNNNNNNNNNNNNNNNNNNNNNNNNNNNNNNNNNNNNNNNNNNNNNNNNNNNNNNNNNNNNNNNNNNNNNNNNNNNNNNNNNNNNNNNNNNNNNNNNNNNNNNNNNNNNNNNNNNNNNNNNNNNNNNNNNNNNNNNNNNNNNNNNNNNNNNNNNNNNNNNNNNNNNNNNNNNNNNNNNNNNNNNNNNNNNNNNNNNNNNNNNNNNNNNNNNNNNNNNNNNNNNNNNNNNNNNNNNNNNNNNNNNNNNNNNNNNNNNNNNNNNNNNNNNNNNNNNNNNNNNNNNNNNNNNNNNNNNNNNNNNNNNNNCGGCGUAUGUUGGGCGGGGGUCGGUGGCCGCCCGUGGCCCGGCGCGGUGCCGGGCGCCGGGAGGGACGGCGCCGAGAGCGACACCGUGGCGCCCGCCGAGAGCGAGGCCGUGAUGCCCGGCACGGAAGCGGCGGCGGUGGAGGAGUUGGCGGCAGCGGAGGUGGUGGAGUUGACGGGCAGCAGCGGUGGUGGCAGCGGUGGCGGAAUUGGAGGUGGCGAAGACAUGGUCGAAACCCGGGUACCUGAUACCAGAUUGGUGGGACUAGGGUUCCUACCAGUGCGGCUACGCAGGUUAUAGGGACAAGGAGGAGGUGGACGAGGGCUGGAGCGGGCGCGCCGGCGAGUGGGCGCCGUCGCGGCUAGGGUUUAGGUGCGGCGGCGGUUGGCUGGUGGCGGCUAGGGUUCCGGCUCCUCAGGGAGCCGGGCAACAGAAGAUGAUAAUAUCUUUAUUGCUUGAUCUCAAACGAUGUCUUACAACUAGUAUUUAUAACUUUAGCCUAAGAUAACUUGCCUAAAAUAACUUGCCUAAGAUAACUUGUGGGUCAAGCCCCUAAUACUAAUGCCCGGUGGGCCUCUUUCGGUUAUAGACCAAACCGGUCAUAACAUCAUAGCUCUUCUUCUCCACUUCUUAGUUCCCACCCACUCUGUUUUCUUCUUCUUUUUUUGAGAGGAAUCUGUCUGUUUCUGAAGAUUUUUUUCUUUUUUUCCUAUGUAGCGCAAGAAAAAGGGGCAGCAUAACAGAUUUUUGUGAGGCAGGUUUCAAAUAAGGUAUAUUAAGCAGGUCUCAAGAUUUUUAUUUUUAAGUAGUAUAUAAAAUUACCCAUCAGUACUAGAACCAAACUAAUCGCGUAGCCAAACAAAUCACUUAUGCACUCAUGCCCUAGUUAUCAGAAUGCCAAAUUUUCAAUCGAUCCCCUCUCAGUUACCAUUUUGCAUACAACAAGUUCAUAGCUCUUCCUCUCAACUUGUUAGAUCUCAGUUACCCUUUUUUCUGAGAGAGAGAGAGAGAGAUCUGUCUGAUUCUGAAGCCUGCAGGGGGAUUCUUUUGCUUAUGUAGUGCAGAAAAAGGGAUUGCCAACAUCAGCAUAACAGUUUUUUUGUGAGGCAGGUCUCAAAUAUGUAUAUUAAACAGGUCCCAAGCAAAUUUUGUUUUUAGGAAAAGAAACCUAUUUCUUAGUAGAACCAAACUUCUCAUCACGUAGCCAAACAAAUCACCUACACUGCUGUCAGCUCUGCUGCCUCCAGCGCUGAUUUGCUUGCUGCUACAACACGCAUGGUUGAGUCAAUUCAACUUGCUCUGCUUAUUAAUCAGAUCAAACCGCUUUUCUUAAUUUUUCUGAGCUCUUCCAUUUGCGCUAUCUCCAAGUAAGUUGAAUAGCUGCAACUCUUACUUAAUAAUUCCACUUCAUUUUAUUUUUUUCAGUUAUGGAAGUGCAUUUUACAGAAAUUUACUAGCGGUUCACUUGUCUGACUAAUGCAUGCACUCGAGGAUUCAGUGUUGUGUCCGGUUUUCAGAAAAAUGCAUUAUGUUGUUGUGUUUUGUCUGAGGAAUUUUGUGAUUUUCAGGGAGACGAACGUCUGAAGAUUGAAAUGGAUCUCACGAUCCAGUUGAUAGAACAGAUUACCAAAAGUUUCUCUGACGAUCAAAAAAUUGGUUGUGGUACGUAUGGGGAAGUUUACAAGGUACGACGUGAUUUCCGGAUAGUAGUUAUCACUUGCUAUGAGCAAGUGCUCCAUUUUAACACCGGGUUUUAUCUAACAGGGAGUGCACAAUGGUGAAGAAAUUGCCGUUAAGAAGCUUUACAACAUGCAAGGAAUUGAUGACACGGAAUUUACAAAUGAGUUCCGUAAUCUUAUGAAGGUCAAGCAUCCGAACAUUGUACGCUUAAUUGGCUACUGCUAUGAAAUACGACAUAGACAUGUCGAGAUGAAUGGAGACCUUGUUUUCGCUAAAACAAUAGAGCAACUUCUCUGCUUCGAAUAUAUGGAGGGUGGAAGCCUUGCUAAGCAUAUUUCUGGUAUGAUGGUAUUUCUAAUACUUUUAAUUCAAUAGUUUAUGUCCGACAGUCCAAGUAUAAUGUCUGUCUUUAUACCUCUUGUGCAGAUGAAUCCUGUGGUCUUGAUUAGCCCACUCGAUACGAAAUCAUUAAGGGAAUUUGUGAGGGUCUAAAUCAUCUUCAUAAUGGGCGGAGUGAUUAUAUUUAUCAUCUGGAUUUGAAACCGGAUAAUAUACUGUUGGAUAAAAACAUGAUGCCUAGGAUUGCAGAUUUCGGCAUGUCAAGACUCUUAGCUUCAUCCAAAACGCAUAUAACUCAAACUCUGAAAGGAACACUGUAAGUUGAUUGAGCAUGUCUGAUCCAUUUCUCUUCAUUCAAUGUCAAUAUGUUAUGCUUGCAUUGCCUUUACUGUAUUUAUCAAUAACAUGCAGAGGAUACAUGCCACCAGAAUUCAUUGACAAGCGCAGAAUCACAAAGAAGUACGAUGUGUUCAUUGACAAGCCCAGAUUGUGCAGAGGCUUCAGGAACUGGCUCCGGGAGACUUUCAGUGGGAGCUUGUUCUCAUUGAGGAGCGCGUGUUCAGGGUUGACCUCCCGUCGGUAGAGGACUUGCGGCGGUUGCUGAGCUUUGGGAUGUGUAAGGUGCCAGGUACUAAUUGUAUUCUGGAGUUUCAAGACUGGAAGAAAGUGGAGCCUAAGGGGAAGCCCCUUACUCAGGUGUGGCUGCGUUUUUCUGGGGCACCCUCUGAGGCUCUGACAGAUGUUUGGGUUGUGGCUAGUCUGGGUAUCAUGGUUGGCAAAACUGAGAAAGUGGAUAUGACAUUCACUCGCGCCCAUGGGGUGGCCAGAUUGCGAGUGAGUGUUCUAGACAUCGAGUUCGUCCCGGAUGUGGUUAACUGGACCUACAGGGGAGAGGUAUUCCCUCUUGAGAUUGAGUUUGAGGACUCUGAGUUGUUUGCCGAGGCGGGUGUUAGUACUGAUAUGGAUAUAAACGAGGGAGACGACAAUGCGGGGGCUAGGAAGGAUCCGACUGAUGAGGCUGGUCGAGAGAGACCCAACGGGUCGGGACCGGUUGCUCAGUUGCCCCAGACUGGAUCUGGGAUAGAGCCGGCCCCAUCUCCGUCGGUACCUCACAGCACGUUGAGGUUUGGAUCUUUUGAGCCUGCGUCUGCUCCUCCUAGGCUUUGGAGCGAUCGGGUGGAGUCUGAGGAUGCUUUUGAGUGCUCGCUCCCGGUGCUGGAUCUUAUGCCGGCUGUUUGUCCAAUGGUGGGAGACUGUGUGAUGGGCCACUCGGAGACGACUUUGGGGGGGAAGGAAUGUGGAGCCUCAGGUGGCCCCCUUCCCCCGUGGGAUCACUGCGGUCUCAUGCGGACGAUUGGUGGCUGAGUCGAUGCCUGCAUCGCCGUCGUUGGCCGGCCGAGAGGGAGACCGUCUGGGGCAGGUGGCCUUGGACCCUUCCCCUUCGGCACCGGCUGCUGCUGCAUCUCCUGUGCUGAUCAGCGAUUGUCAGGGGCAGGUGGCCCCGGCGACGUCAGCUUCGCCGCCGCUGGCCGGCCGUGAGGGAGGCCGUCUGGGGCAGGUGGCCUCAGACCCUUCCCUUUCGGCACCGGCUGUUGCGACUUCUCCUGUGGUGCUCAGCGGGAGUCUGGGGCAGGUGGCCCGGGUCCAUCCCUCGCCUUCGGCUGCCGGGAUGGUGACGCCCUCAGGCUUGAGGGUUGGGGCAGAGGGGGUGCUCGGGCAGGCGGCGCCGGCACCUACCUCACCCGGCCUCCUGUUCGUGCGCCAUGGGAGCCUUCCGCCGCUGCCUCCUACGAGUGGCGCUACUCGGGAGGAGGUUAUUGCUUUCGGUGGGAUCCCUAACCCGGUCUCGAAGGGGAGACGGAUGAGUUCUCAUCUCCAGGACCACCCGGAGGUUGAUGACAUGCAGCAGAGGUGCGCUAUGAGGGCGGCCAAGCUUCGUGACAUUGAGGUCACUACCGGUAUGUCAGUCAACUUAUCCAAUUCUAUUUUGCAUUUUUCUACGGAUGAGAUUAUUCAUAAUGCAAAUCAAUUAGGGAUUUUGCUAGGGAAUACCAAUUCUGAAAUUUCCAACUCGGUUAAUGAUCUUGAUCUGGAAGCGGAACGCGCUUUAGAAACCAUUCGAAAUCUUGCGGCAGUGAGACCUAUGAAUGAUGCUGAGAUUGAUGCGUUGGGGGUGAGAGUGCUUGACAAUUUGUGUGCGGACCUUGCACCACCCACUAAUGAGUCCGACGAGGAGGAGGUUAGUGUAGAAGUUGUAGUGAAUCAACCACCAGAGACCGGUUAUGAGGACCGGAUGGUGGACAAUGAUAAACCCAAACGUAAGUGGAAGCGGAAGGUGUAUCCCGCAUCCGCGGUACGUAGGAGCGCUAGGAUUCGUACGGAAAAAAAAUUUCAUGAUGACUUAUGAAAGGAAUCUUUUGGAAUAGCAAAGGUCUGAAGGACUUGGCUAAACGAAGAUUUCUCGCUGAGGCAUCUCUGGAGCAUCGUUUAGAUUUCAUUGCUCUCUCUGAAACUGGUAGAGAUAAUUUUGCUCCUCAGUUUCUUUCCUCUCUUGCGGGCGGUGUUGAUUUCGACUAGCAUUGCCUACCUCCGCGAGGACGAUCGGGAGGUAUCUUGCUAGGAGUGAGAUGCGAUUCCCUUGAGGUCCGGAGUGUAGUGAUGGGCGACUUUGCGGUUAAGUUUCGGGUUAGGUCUAAAGUUGAUGGUUUCAACUGGGCCUUGGUGGCGGUUUAUGGUGCCGCGCAGCCGGAGCUUAAACCGGAGUUUCUAGCGGACCUUGUUCGAGUUUGUGGGUCCGAGCAGCUUCCGAUGUUGGUCGGGGGUGAUUUCAAUAUCAUUCGGAGGAGAGAGGAGAAGAAUAAUGAUAACUUUGACGGCAGAUGGUCGUUUAUGUUCAAUAGCAUUAUUGAGAGCUUGGAUCUGAGAGAGAUAGAGCUUUCUGGUAGAAAGUUUACCUGGGCUAAUGCCUUGCCUACCCCGACAUAUGAAAAGCUUGAUCGAGUUCUCGCGAGCGUGGAGUGGGAACAGAAGUUCCCUCUUGUUACGGUCCAAGCUCUCUCGCGGGGAAUAUCCGAUCACACACCACUGUUCGUGGACUCCGGGGAGCCGAACCAUGUGGGAAACAAAAACACCUUCUCAUUCGAGAUGGCCUGGUUCGAACGUGAGGGGUUCUUAGACCUCAUUGCCAGGGAAUGGGCUAAGGGUGUAGGAGGUAGGACGGCUGUCGAGCGUUGGCAGAAUAAAAUUAGGCAUAUGAGAAGUUUCUUACGGGGUUGGGCUAAGCACCUCAGUGGGGUGUAUAAGAUUGAGAAGGAUAGGCUCCUUUCUCUUAUACAGGCCCUGGACAUAAAAGCCGAAUCCGCGAUUUUGCUGCCUGCUGAGCUCCAGGUUAAAACGGAGGCGGAGAAGAGGUUGAAAGAACUUCUCCGUGAAGAAGAGUUGAAGUGGGUGUUGCGAGCUAAGGUUCGCAAAGUGGUCCAAGGGGACGCCAAUACUCAAUUCGUUCACCUGAUUGCCAAUGGUAAGCACAGAAAGAAGCGUAUCUUCAAACUUGAACAAGAUGAGGGUACUAUUGUUGGGCAGGAUAAUCUCAAAACAUAUAUUACAGAGUAUUAUAGGCAGUUAUUUGGACCUCCGGAGGUUAAUUGUGUGACCCUCGAUGAGUCCAGGACUGAGGAUGUACCUCAAUUGUCUGCUGCCGAUAAUGAUAUCUUGCUCGCCCCGUUUUCGGAGAAGGAGGUGUUUGAUGCUAUUGCACAAAUGAAAAACAAUAAGGCUCCCGGACCGGAUGGGUUCCCGGCCGAGUUCUAUAAAAAGUGCUGGCACAUUAUUAAGGGGGAUUUGUUACCUAUGUUUCAGGAUCUUUUCUCUAGACAGCUUCAAUUAUUUCACUUGAAUUUUGGAACUAUCACAUUGCUCCCUAAGAAAACCGAGGCUGUGAGAAUUGAGCAGUUCAGGCCAAUUUGCCUCCUCAAUGUUAGUUUCAAAAUCUUCACCAAGGUCGGGACUAAUAGGCUCUCACAGAUUGCGCAUUCUGUGGUGCAACAAUCCCAAACUGCUUUCAUGCCAGACAGAAACAUCCUUGAAGGGGUGGUUGUCCUUCAUGAAACGCUCCAUGAAAUUCACUCCAAAAAAUUAGACGGGGUAAUUUUUAAGGUGGAUUUCAAAAAAGCGUACGAUAAGGUCAAGUGGCCAUUCCUCCAACAGGCAUUGCGUAUGAAAGGUUUUGAUGAUGCCUGGCGCCGGCAGGUCGAAUCAUUUACGCAAAAAGGGAGUGUGGGAAUUAAAGUGAAUGACGUUAUAGGUCAUUAUUUCCAGACUCAUAAAGGCCUCAGAUAAGGAGAUCCGAUGUCCCCUAUCCUGUUUAACAUUGUGGUGGAUAUGUUAGCAAUUUUGAUAGGAAGGGCUAAGGAGAAUGGUCAAGUGGGUGGCUUGGUACCUCAUCUUGUUGAUGGAGGUGUAUCCAUCCUUCAAUACGUUGAUGAUACAAUCAUAUUUAUGGAGCACGACUUGGCCAAGGCGAGAAAUAUGAAGUUGUUGUUAUGCCUAUUUGAACAAUUGUCCGGAUUAAAGAUUAACUUUCAUAAGAGCGAGUUGUUCUGCUUUGGUAGAGCCAAAGACGAACAGGAGUCUUAUAGGCAAUUGUUUGGGUGCGAGUUGGGGAGUUUGCCCUUCUCCUACCUUGGUAUUCCGAUACACCAUCGUAGGCUGACAAACAGAGAGUGGAAGUGUAUCGAGGACCGAUUUGAGAAGAAAUUGAGUUGCUGGAAGGGUAAGCUCAUGUCAUAUGGAGGCCGGUUAAUCUUGAUAAAUUCGGUGCUCACGAGUAUGCCUAUGUUUCUCUUAUCGUUCUUUGAGGUCCCAGUUGGUGUUAGGAAAAGACUGGACUUCUAUCGAUCAUGUUUCUUUUGGCAGGGUGAUGAACUUAAAAGAAAAUACCAGCUUGCUAAAUGGGAUAUUAUCUGUCGACCCAAAGACCAAGGAGGGCUUGCAUUUGAGAAUCUUGAAGUUAAGAACAGAUGCCUUCUUAGUAAGUGGUUGUGGAAGCUCGCUUCCGGGACUGAAGCCAUGUGGGCGCAGAUCCUUCGCAGCAAGUACCUCCAGACUAGAACUCUGUCCCAGGUAACAGUUAGGCCGACUGACUCGCCUUUCUGGAAAGGACUCAUGAAAGUCAAACAAUUACUGUUCAAUAGGACAAGAGUUGUUAUUGGAAAUGGUGCUACUACACGUUUCUAGGAGGAUACUUGGCUUGGCAACUCACCCUUGGUCAUUCAAUAUCCGUCUUUAUAUCGUAUUGCUCAACGAGGUGAGGUGUUCGUGGCAACGGUAUUUCAAUCUAUCCCCCUUAAUAUUCAGUUUAGACGGUCGCUAGCGGGCAAUCGUUGGGAAGAUUGGCUCCAUUUAGUUAGGAGACUGAUGGAGGUUCAACUUUCUGACCAACCUGAUGAAUUACGCUAGAAGUUGACUAGGUCUGGAGUAUUUACAGUUAAGUCAAUGUAUAUUGAUGUUAUUAAAAUUCCAACUUCCAAGAAUGUCUGGGAUGUCAAAGUUCCUUUGAAAAUAAAAGUGUUUAUGUGGUUUGUCCAUAAACAAGUUAUUCUAACAAAGGAUAACUUAAUAAAGCGUAAUUGGACAAGACCUACUAGGUGUAGUUUCUGUGAUCGGGAUGAGACGAUUAAGCAUCUCUUUUUUGAUUGCCCGUUGGCCAAGGUCCUUUGCCGGAGGGUCCACAUUGCUUUUAACAUUACUCCACCGACUACUGUUAAUGCUUUAUUUGGGACUUGGCUUAAUGGGAUUGAGUCUACCUUAGCAAGACAUAUUCGGGUUGGAGUCUGCGCUUUGCUGUGGACCAUCUGGCUUUGCAGAAAUGAUUUGGUUUUUAACAGAACAUCACAGAUUCAUUUUUUGUAGGUUAUUUUCCGAGCUACGGCAAUGAUCCGUUCGUGGUCGCUACUCACUCCGAUGGAGGCCAGGGAGCAUUUGGUUACUGGGUCUAUCCGUUGGGAGAUGGUAGCUCGGGAUAUUUUCAACCGGUUUGGAUGGCGGUCAUGUAAUAGGAUAGGCAAUUAGUUUACCUACCUUUUUUAGCCAGCCGGUUGUGGCAUUUUUUCCUGGCUAGUUUGUGUAUCUAGCCUUUUGCGCUCUGUGUGAGCUGCCUUUUCUUUCUUUAAGUUUGAGACUUUGGAACUUUGUUGGCACAAUUUGAUUAUUGGUUAAUAAGAUGGCCGUAUGCAUCACUCUUGAUGCAGAGGCCGGGGAGCCCCCCCUUUUCGAAAAAGUGUUGGUGUCAUAAUUUUACAAAUAAUGGCUGGAGCUCAGGGCUACAACAAUUGUUGUGAGAUGACUUCUCCCCAACAGUUUAUCGAGCUUGUAAGCCUCUGUACUAUAUUUUGAGCAAAUGUUAUGUUUUUUCUGGUAUCAUCACACUAUCCAAGAAUGCGUGCGCUUAUGAAUCUUUAUAUAUAUACCGCAGGUACAUGAGAACUGGAAGAAAAGGCUUCAAGGGAUGCCAAUGCAGGAAAAUACUUACUUAAUUGACAUCCUAGCAGUGCAGAGAUGUAUUGAACUCGCAGUGAGAUGUGUGAAGGCCGAUCCCGUAAAAAGGCCUAGUAUAAUGGACGUCGUCGAUGAACUGAAUAAACUAGAUGCUGACAUUAAGAAUAUAUCACUUCCAGGCCAGGUAACAUUCAGGCUCUCCUUUCGAAUGAAACUCAUCAAAACUUUGGGAACUUCAGUAAUUUGGUGGAUCCUAAAUAUUUCGGUGGCAUGUGUAUCUGAGCCAAAUUCAUACAGAACACAAAUUAACAUUGGUCAUAUUUCCACUAGCCAGAGAUCACUCAAAGUUAUGUGGAUUUUUUUGUCAUUUGGCCGAAGUAGAAUCUCCAUUUUUUCAGUUAUUUUAGUGAUUUGGUAACAUGGGUACACUAUGACCACAUUAACUCCAUGAUCUAUUUUAUUCUCAUUGCAGGAAACUUCUGACUCCAAAGAUCUUGAGCUUGAUUCAGCCCUCGAGCUACGCUUCCCAUUUGAGCUAAACAGGGACAUAUCAUGUUGUAUGCAGCUAAUCAACAAGACAAACGAGUUCGUUGCAUUCAACAUCAGAACCAAUAAAAUGAAGUACAUUGCACGGCCAAAUAACGGGAAUAUGGCACCAUAUUCCAAGAUUUAUAUCACAUUUACAUUGCUGGCACAAGACAAGGAGCCACCCUAUAUGCGGUGCCAAGACAUGCUCAUUGUGCAGAGCACUAGGCUCAGCAUGGAAUCCGGUGAUGAGAUCACUGACGAGUUCUUCGAGAAGGCUGUGGCAAGUAGGGUGGUGGAUGAGGUGAAGUUGCCGAUUGUCUAUGUUGUGUAGUUACUGUGCUGGAGCAUGAGUGAAAUCCAUCUAGGUGAGUGACAUGAUGAGGAAAACAUAGAGGCUCAUGACUUCCAUAAAGUUCUGCGGAUAUUUGAGAGUAGAU
rnacentral:lncRNA from 1 species